UACAGAGGUCUCAAGCGUUGUUCGGAUUCAUUGGGCGUAAAGGGUGUGUAGGUGGCGCGCUAAGUCGGGUGUGAAAUUUCGGAGCUUAACUCCGAAACUGCAUUCGAUACUGGCGUGCUUGAGGACUGGAGAGGAGACUGGAAUUUACGGUGUAGCAGUGAAAUGCGUAGAUAUCGUAAGGAAGACCAGUGGCGAAGGCGGGUCUCUGGACAGUAACUGACGCUGAGGAGCGAAAGCGUGGGGAGCGAACAGG
rnacentral:rRNA from 1 species